UGAGCCGAGCUGAGCUUAGCUG
rnacentral:miRNA from 1 species